UUAUUGGUUCCUCGCAACAGGGUUUAGCUUACUUGAUCAGGUUCGGAAGAAAGCAGUCUGGGUUAAAUUUUCUGUGUGCCGAGGGUCGCUGGUAACGCC
rnacentral:SRP_RNA from 1 species